ACGAACCUGAGGUGAAACACCUCAGAUAAAGAAGCAGAGGAAGGUCCCUCCACCUCCUCCCUGCCGUCUCCGCUGAGCUGGAGGACCCAACUGAUGAGGAGCUGCUGGAGGCCUGAAGGUGGAGCCUCCGUUCAGCCGCUGGACCUCCAGAGCCGCCCAGCAGGCCACGAGCUCUACUCCACCUUCAUGAGGCGGCUGUCUCACUGCGUCUCUGAGGCGGACCCUCAGGACGCCCGCCGUCUCACCGAGGCCAAGCGGUCCGAUCUGGGGAGAACGCACGGGAUGCUGGACCUGAGCGACGCUGAGGUGAUCCGGAGGAUCUCCAAGGAGGACGCGUGGGGCGGCGGACACGGCCAUCUUCCUCCAGAACCUUCUGGACACCUUCAGAGGACCUGCAGGACAUGUGGGACACGCAGAGACGCCACCUCAGCUGCAUCCAGGAUCCAGCAGGCCUGCAGCUCUACAGCCAGACUGGGUCGCUGACCCAAGGAGGGAUCAGCCUCCCUGGAGUCCUUCCACCUCCACCUGAACCGCUUCAUCCCAGGGACGUCUGCCAGUGCCAGGAACUUCCAGCCGUUCCUUGGUGAUGGAGUGGUGAGGUGGAACCAGGAAGGAGCAGCAGCUGCAGCGCCUGUGGAUGCCGCUGAGGAGAAGACGUCUCUGCUGUCCUACAGCGGCCGCCUCAACCAGAAGAGCCAAAGGUGCUUGAACCUGAUCUGGUUGAGGAUCUCACUAAGCCUGCUGCGUA